rnacentral:lncRNA from 1 species
UCGGUUUGUUUUAUGCUUGUAUGCUCUUCUUUUUGAAUCCUUGAGCUCUCCAAUAAUCACAUAAGUAAUUCCAAACAUUCUGACCAAUCCACCUCGGUCUGUUCAUUGAGCUACGAACCUUGUUUAGAUUAUUUUUUACUACUGUUGCACCUUGUAUUUCAAAGUUCUUUCUAGCCCACACAUCAUUUGGUGGAUAAAUAUUAAAUCUAU